rnacentral:rRNA from 1 species
GACGAACGCUGGCGGCGUGCUUAACACAUGCAAGUCGAACGAAGUGGCGAACGGGUGAGUAACGCGUAAUCAACCUGCCCUUCAGAGGGGGACAACAGUUGGAAACGACUGCUCAUACCGCAUACUGAAGGAGGGGAUUGCGUCUGAUUAGCCAGUUGGAGGGGUAAAGGCCCCCCAAGGCGAAGAUCAGUAGCCGGUCUGAGAGGAUGAACGGGCACAAUGGGACUGAGACACGGCCCAGACUCCUACGGGAGGCAGCAGUGGGGAAUCAUCCGCAAUGGACUGAAGUCUGACGGAGCAACGCCGCGGGAGUGAUGACGGCCUUCGGGUUGUAAAGCUCUGUUAAUCGGGACGCGGUACCGGAAUAGAAAGCCACGGCUAACUACGUGCCAGCAGCCGCGGUAAUAC